AGAGUAGUAGGGUAAUAGGUAACCCCCUUCAUUUGGGAUGAAGUGAUACUGCAAGUUCGAGUCUUGUCUACUCUA
rnacentral:tRNA from 1 species